CCCAAACUGAUCUUUGAGAACCGAUCCUCUGGCGACAACCGGACAUCGAUGAGAGACCUGUUUUCUCCGGGAAGUGACGACCAUGGAGAUCGGCGGCGGAGUAGGAGGGGAAGAGACCCAGUUCCGAGGUUACAAUGCCUCCAACAAGAGGGAGAAUUUAAGAUUGGUCCUCGCCGAUCAUCUCUCCGACCCGAUUCUCGUCGACGUUCCGAGGAAUCCCACAUUGUCGGAUGUUUUCUGUCACCAUUCUAAGCCUCGAGAAGGGAAGCGCCAUGCGUUUAUUUGUCUUAAAGCGCGGCGAUUCGCCGAUUCCUCCUUCGGUACACUCGUCUACGCUGUGUUUUCGAUUUGGGCGUUUUGUCGAACACAUGGUGUGCUUUGACGUUCUUACUUAUGUGGUGAUCUUUGCCGAUGUGACGGUGAUUAAUUGAGCUACGAUAAAGGACUUGAAGCUCGUGAACGAGAGGAAAGUUAGUGAAAUGCAGUAAACUAGCUUGGGUCAUCGCCAUAUUUCUUGGAAGCUUGUGUGGUCAAAUUUCUGGAUUUCGUAAAAUAACGAGAAGUUGCUUGAUGACAAUACUGUUCUUCAGGACGUUGCAUCAGGAACACGUCUCAGGUUUAUGUCUAUCUCUGUGUCUGAUCUUCUUUCCUUUCCCCAGCAUUGCGGAAUUCUGUUUUUCAUGAUGUGCGUGACAAUGCAGAACAUAUUCUUGUCAGUUGCCACAUGUGUGAUGUCUUAUUACUUGCAUUAGGCUCUGUUCCAGAUUAUCAGCUCUGUUACAAUGUUGUUUCUGUGUGUACGAAUCUUCUCUAAUCUUGGUAGCAACCACUGACCCACGAUCAAUGAGCUUAUGGUGGAGUCGGUAACAGCAUUAUAUCUUCCUAAACUCUAUUCCACGGCUGAAGUAAGAUGAUGAGCACUUCCCAUUAGAGUUGCCUCUGAAGCGAUGAAACCCUCAAGAAAGAAGCAAAUUUGUGUGUGUGUGUGUGUGUGUAUAUAGAUAUAUGGUAUACACAUCUUAUAUACUUCAUCCGAAGGUCACUCGAAUGCACUUGCAGGAACCUUUUACUUUCUUGCAGGGGAAACCAAGUCAGUCUCUCUCUCACCUCUGUCGAUUUUUACUCUGCCUGUAACAUGUAAUCCGUGUAUUGGCUUAAUAGAUUUGAGUUGAUGUUGGGUUGA